GGGACAUAAUUACAGAUUAUAAUGACUUAUACUGUGUUUUUACAUGUUGCGUUGCAUCGUGCUGCAAAAACAUAAAACCAUGUCUGCAUUUGUGAUAGGAGAAAUGACAAACAACAAGCGCUGCUCUACACCAUCGGUUCUCAAUUCCAGUCCUCGCGCCCCACAGCUCGAGACAAGGGUAGCUGCAGCCUGGAGCAAUGGGCGUGCCGAAAAGUAUGGGUGUGCCAAAAGGUAGGGGCGUAUCAAAAGGUUUCUCAUUGGUGAAGGGAGUUUUACUGUGUUGGCCAAUCAGCGGUAAAUAUACAUUUACGUAAUUUCCUUUAGACAAAAGAAGGUGGCGGCGAUAAGACGUGAGGUAAUUAUUCAUCAUACGUUUAUCUAUGCUUUAUAUACCACAAAUAUGUAUAUUAGAUUGUUACAAAACAAUCAUAAUUUUUCCUUUGCAUUAUAUGUUGCAGCUUUAGUAAUUGGUUUAUUGUUGUUGACAGACAUAUGUACAGUGAGACAAAACGAUGACCGCAUAUGCAUCGAAGGUGAAGCCCUCAAAGUUGGUAGUUUGUAUCUGCGUCCUUUUUGUGCAAUACAGUACAGAAUACAUCCUGUAUCCAACUAAUGCAGAGUAUAUUCAAGUUGCCAACACAGUGGUUGUGAAGAACCCUUUCCAGAGAAAUAUAAAAGGAAAUGACUGUGAAACUUGUGUUGGGGAGUAUCAGAAAACACAUCCAGACACCUGGACUGUCAAAGACCACACGGCAGGAACAUUCUCCUGGAGAUGUUGAGAAAGCACGGAAGGAAUGUCUGUGGAGGAUGUACUCAAAAAACACCCAUACUUAAGAACACCCGCUGGAGUGAGUAUAAAAAAAAAAAAAAAAAAAAAAAAAAAAAAUCAACUGUAAAAUAUCUUGUUUCAAAUCUUUUCUUGUAAUAUUUUAUUCUUCUCUACCUUUUUAGCCCCUCUGUUAAAAUUUUUUAACAAUAGUUUUAGAAAACAAUGCAAGAUUUAUCAGUGUAAACAAGAACAUGAAAUGCAUUGUAUAUUUUGACCCUUAUACAUUAGCUUCAGAUUGUUUUUGCAGUUCUGCACUGUAUGUAGCUACACUAUCUGAGCCACAGAAGAUGGAACAGAAAUUGAAAAGUGUUUAAUUAUUUUAUUAUUAUUAUUUAUUUUUUUAAUUAUUAUUUAGGGGGCCCUGCUACACCCUUUCCUACCAUACAACUGAUGGAUACUGACUGAAAAAUGGCAAUCAUAGGAGGAGGGCUCAGUGUGGUGACAGAAGAUGGAAUAGACGUGUGUCAGUGCACCAGCCUUGAUGAAGCCUUCAUAACAGCCUUCUUUAUGUAUUUUGUUUUCAACAUUCCAUAUCCAACAUACCGGAGAAAGACACUGACUUUCCUUCAGAGGCACAUUGUGGAAGAUGGAGGCAAGCACUGCCAGUAACUUUACUCCGGAUGAUUAGCCUUUUGUAUUAGAUCCUCAUGCCUCAACUGUACCAUUGCCCAAAGUGCACUCGAAGGACAUUCACUCUUUUGAAGUUUAUCCAACAUGUUGGAGUUGUACAUGCACAUAAACCAAAAAUUAGUAUAACCUGUGGUAUAGAUGAGUUCUAAUCACCUUUUUUGGGAUUCCAUUCUUUUAGAAAACAUGCACAGGAAGCAUAUUUACUUUUGGUAACAAAAAUGACUGUCUCAGUGAAGAGUCAGCAGAACAAUUAUAUUAUAAUAUAACGGAGAAAGGUCUGGCUGCAGACUUGCACUUGCACUCUCAGACUUGCACUCUCA
ensembl:lncRNA